AUGUGUCUGAAAUAUGCAGAGUUGCUGGAGUCUUCCCAGCUGAGCGUGAGGGGCUCUGGGGCCACCGUGAGUGCCCAAGAAGGGGCUGCAGCUGGCACUGAGCAGGAACCAGUGUCCCCAGCAGGAGCCCUGGCUACAUGCCAAGGCAGGCACCUGGAAGGACUUCCGGGCCCAGGACUGUUGAGGCGGACUGCGACGGACACGUACGCCACUGCUCUGUGGAAGCUGGACAGGGCUCCCCACAGGCUUCGUCAGGCCCGCUGCCCACCGCUGUCCUGCCUGGACUUCCCCCGCCCCUCCUGGGGCCACUGGACAGGCGGGGCCAGGAGCUCCUGCCUUCCUGCUGUCAUCACCUUCAUAUUAUUUACGAAGAAAUGGACACUCGGAGUCAUACGAGCACCACGGCUGGAGUUCCAGAGUGAAGCUGCGAUCGAGUUCCAGGAGGGGAGCUUUCCCAGGUCCUCUGUGCCCCUCGCACGCCCAGGGCACCACGGUGCCUGGAAUGCCCAGGCUGGGUGCGAUCCGUGCUGCCCGGGGCCCUGCUGGUGGACGAGUGAGCAGCUGUCCCUCCCAGCUGCUGCAAAACGCAAGGCUGUGAACUUGGGCGUGCAAGGCCCUGGGUUCUGGCACCGUCUGAACCCUGCUCUCCAUCCUCCAGGGCGUGGACCCGGCGGAGGAGCUGCGCUGCGGGGUUGGUGUCUUAGCUGUUUCCCCAGAGCUGAACCCUGUUUUCUCCAGUGGCCGCAUCUUUGCACUGUCAUCCGGCUUGGAAGGAGAUGCGGGACGGGGGACACUGGCCUGGGACUGUGGCCCCACCGUGUGUCCAGCUCGUUUUAGAGCAGCACCCCAGAUAGACCCAUGGGACUCAGAGCCUGCAGCCAGGAGCCGGGAUGUCACAGAGCCAGGGCCCAGUUCCACCCAGGCCGGCAGCUCGAGCCCCAUGUCUCUGUCCACAGUUCAGAGAGAGCUGUAAGACUUGUUCAGUCAAUCGUGACCUGACCUUGCCAAACUUGCCAUAUUUUAAGGGAAACUGGAACUCUGGAUUUCAUGAAAUCCCCUGAUUUAAAGAUGCUAGCACAUAGUUCAGAUUAAAAGGAAGAUAAUGUAGGCACUGCUCAGCAACCAGACGGCAGGGGCCAGGAAGAGCUGGGAGGCGGGGCCAGAGGUGCUCGGUGUGGCAGCUCCAGGACGGACCUGGGAUCUAUCGCUUGUUAAAGGAGGUGUCGGCCUCCAUGUGACCCCAGGUAUCUCAGCAACCUGACCUUUGACAGCAAAUCCGUCGGCCUCUGACCUGCUUUCAGCAUGGACGCAGGAGACUGCCACCCACAGGCCAGGGAGGUGACCGUCUCCACCAGUGCCAGGGCCACCACCACACAGUGUCAGUACCUUGCCACCAGUACCCACGCUCCCGUGGUAAAAGUAAAUAAAAGCAAACAAAACUGGCACUACCAGCGGCUCUAGGCUCACCACAGUGUCCAGCGUGGACUCUGCCACUGCCCCUGCGGAGACCCU
rnacentral:lncRNA from 1 species